UGGGGAAUUUUGGACAAUGGGCGAAAGCCUGAUCCAGCCAUGCCGCGUGCGGGACGAAGGCCUUCGGGUUGUAAACCGCUUUUGUCCGGAGCGAAACGCUUCGAGCUAACACCUCGGGGUAAUGACGGUACCGGAAGAAUAAGCACCGGCUAACUACGUGCCAGCAGCCGCGGUAAUACGUAGGGUGCAAGCGUUAAUCGGAAUUACUGGGCGUAAAGCGUGCGCAGGCGGUUAUGUAAGUCAGAUGUGAAAUCCCAGGGCUCAACCUUGGAACUGCAUUUGAGACUGCAUGGCUAGAGUGCGUCAGAGGGGGGUGGAAUUCCAUGUGUAGCAGUGAAAUGCGUAGAUAUGUGGAGGAACACCGAUGGCGAAGGCAGCCCCCUGGGAUGACACUGACGCU
rnacentral:rRNA from 1 species